rnacentral:rRNA from 1 species
UAGAGUUUGAUCCUGGCUCAGAUUGAACGCUGGCGGCAGGCCUAACACAUGCAAGUCGAGCGGAUGAGAGGAGCUUGCUCCUUAAUUCAGCGGCGGACGGGUGAGUAAUGCCUAGGAAUCUGCCUGGUAGUGGGGGACAACGUUUCGAAAGGAACGCUAAUACCGCAUACGUCCUACGGGAGAAAGCAGGGGACCUUCGGGCCUUGCGCUAUCAGAUGAGCCUAGGUCGGAUUAGCUAGUUGGUGAGGUAAUGGCUCACCAAGGCGACGAUCCGUAACUGGUCUGAGAGGAUGAUCAGUCACACUGGAACUGAGACACGGUCCAGACUCCUACGGGAGGCAGCAGUGGGGAAUAUUGGACAAUGGGCGAAAGCCUGAUCCAGCCAUGCCGCGUGUGUGAAGAAGGUCUUCGGAUUGUAAAGCACUUUAAGUUGGGAGGAAGGGCAGUAAAUUAAUACUUUGCUGUUUUGACGUUACCGACAGAAUAAGCACCGGCUAACUCUGUGCCAGCAGCCGCGGUAAUACAGAGGGUGCAAGCGUUAAUCGGAAUUACUGGGCGUAAAGCGCGCGUAGGUGGUUCGUUAAGUUGGAUGUGAAAUCCCCGGGCUCAACCUGGGAACUGCAUUCAAAACUGUCGAGCUAGAGUAUGGUAGAGGGUGGUGGAAUUUCCUGUGUAGCGGUGAAAUGCGUAGAUAUAGGAAGGAACACCAGUGGCGAAGGCGACCACCUGGACUGAUACUGACACUGAGGUGCGAAAGCGUGGGGAGCAAACAGGAUUAGAUACCC